rnacentral:rRNA from 1 species
UACGUAUGGUGCAAGCGUUGUCCGGAAUUAUUGGGCGUAAAGAGCUCGUAGGCGGUUUGUUGCGUCGGCUGUGAAAUCCCGAGGCUCAACCUCGGGUCUGCAGUCGAUACGAGCAAACUAGAGUGUUGCAGGGGAGACUGGAAUUCCUGGUGUAGCGGUGAAAUGCGCAGAUAUCAGGAGGAACACCGGUGGCGAAGGCGAGUCCCUGGACAACACCUGACACUGAGGCACGAAAGCUAGGGGAGCAAACAGG